GGUGCCCCUAGGCGGAAAAGUGGAGCUCCUGGAAGGACGCUGGCCUCUCUUGCUGGCUCUCCUUUGGUCCACAGCGGAGAAGCACAUGGCCCCUGUUUGCUUUUGCCUGCAGUCUACAGAGCAAACUCUGAUAGUGACCAGGUUGUUCUUGCAGAGUUCUCUACUUCAUCCCAUCUGUGAAGAGUGAAUGAGUGGCUGUGUUGUACUGAGCUGCCUGCUGGGAUUAAACCACAACAUAGUGAUACUUCACCUAAAUUAGCCAAGAAUACCAUUAGCCAUCUUAGCAGCAAGGGCACACUGCUAACUCAUGUUCAACUUGGUAUCUCCUAGGACUUCCAAGUCUUUUUACUGGACAGCUGCUUUCCAGCCUGGCAGUCACCAGAGUGCAUUGGUGCCUAGAGCUGUUACUCCUGAGGUUCAGGACUUUGCAUUCUCCUUAUUUAACUUAAUGAGAUUCCCUCCACUGGGGGCUGGAGAUUAGUGAUCCUUGAGAUCCCUUCCAACAUGGGCCAUUCUGUGAUUCUGUGUGUAAGAUCAAUUAUGUUUACCAUUUUACAAACAUCUAGUUUACCUGUCAGUCCACUUCUUCAAUCUGUCAAGAUCACUCUGGAUGUCAGCAUGGGUCUUUAGUGAAUCAGGUGCUCCACCCAGUUUUGUUUAUCUACCAUAGGAAGCCUGCUUUACCAGGGGGACUGAGCUAAAUGAUCUCCAGAGGUCCCUUCUAGUUCCUGUGAUUCUGUGAUUCUUUCUUUCAGUUUACUGAGAUGACAUUCUACCCACUGUCCAGAUCAUUAAUUAAGAUUUUAAACAGGAAUGGAUUCAGUACUGAUCUCUGAGGUACUCCACUCAUCACUGAUCUACAACUGGACUUUGCAUCACUAACUACUACCUUCUGGGCCUGUCCAGUUCAGCCAGUAAGCUUUGGGAAUCUCAAGGGCAGUGGUCUGCAGAUUCACAGUUUUUAGUCCAAGUCUUCAUAGUUGCUCAGUUAAAAUACUGGGUGAUUUAAAACAGCGUGCUUGGAAAAUCAUGCAUUAUAAUGCGUAUAUCUCAGUAGCCAAAAGUAGAAUGUGAAUAAAUAUAAAACUAAAAAAUUUCCUUUAAGAAGUUCAUUUAAAUAUUUCUACCUAAUUUGUGUUACAUUAACAACUAUGGUUUGGAAAAGAAAAGAAAACAACAACAACAACAAACAAACAAAAAACGUGAGGAUUUAAAAAAAACAUAUUUAUCGUGAUUAAAAAUGAAAGGAAACCUUGGCUGACUUUGCUUUCAGCAUAUCUUUCUGAUAGAAACACUGUUAAUAAAGCCACAGGCAGUAAAGGGAUCUUGAUUUAAACUGGCAUUAAUUUAUUAACGAACCAGGAUUUCAGGACAUUAGCUAUCUCAGUAGUCUUUACCACGUUUAGUGCAUGACAUGCAAGAAAUUUCUCCUGACAGAAAGCAAAUGUUAACAUAUUUUCUGCAGCAGUCACCACAUCAGAUUGAUUUGGAUAACUAUAAUGCUGUCAGGAUGUUGUUCAUUAUUUGUGCAUUCUGUGAAUUAUAGAAAGAAAAGUGGUUCUGUGAAUUGUUGAACUCAUACUCAUAGGCCUUAACCUUACUUCCUAUAGCUUUGGUCAAAGCCAUUUUAUGUUUAAAUCUCUGUAUCUGCACCACUCUUACACAAAGAUAUUCUGACAAUUAAUUUAACUGAUGUUCACUAGAUAUAUAAUGGGAGUCUGGUCACCAAAGCAGAAAGUUGACUGUAGAAUUCUUUUUUUUUUUUUUUUUUUUUUUUUCCUUUCAAAUCUUUUACAUUUGGUUUUAUAAUUUUCUUUGAACUCAUUGGCAGGUAAUUGCAACAUUUGAUAAACUAGCUAAAUAAAUUUACUAGUAUAAUAUUAUUACUUGAAAACCUACCUAACACCUUCAGAAUGCAUAUGAAUAGAAUGCAAAAUUUGCUUCAGAAUUCAUGUUUAAAUGACUUUGUACAUCUUUUGCUGAUUUUUCAUUUUAAUGUUAAAAAUGUCCUUGAAAAAAAUUCAAUAAUAACUCUGAAGUUCAGGAAGUCUGUAUUAUCACGCAAGCUGUUAUUCACAAAUCAUAAGAGAUUCAGACUUGAUAUAUCUCUGAUUUAAUAAAGCAAUACUGUUUUGAUUUUACUGGCGAAAAUGACAACAACAAAACAAGCAGAAAAACCCACAACAACCAGCAACAACUGCACAAAAGAUUGAGUGUCUACCCUGUGCUAAUUUUUCUAAUGACUCCUUUGGUAGUGUUUUCUAAAAGUACAACUUGCCAACAACAUGGAAUCUAAGUCAGAGUGGAAAUUAUUACUAUACUACAAAGAUGACAGUGAAACUGUUCAGCUCCAACUGGAAGUUGUAGAGCACAGGACAUGGAGUACUAAAUCAUUUAGCAACAGUGAGAAAUUCAGGCUCUUGACUGAUGCCAGGUUUUUGUUCGGGGAUCAAAUCCAACAACUGAAGUAAUUAUUGCCAUUAAUCAAGUCCCUGAAAUGUUUGGUGUUUCUGUGACUUACCAACAUGUAACCUGUCUGGUGGCAGAAGUGGAAAAGGAACAAGAGGUUACUGUAUCCCUAAAUGAUGACGCUUCAAU